AAAUGUUAGCCAGGCAAUUCUUUUUACUUUAUUGUAAACAUUAAUCAAUAACCAUUAUUGUAAAUCUCACAUUAUGACUGUAUUCAUGCGUCUUACAAUAAGUAUGCUUAAACUAGUGAACCUCACGAUAUAAUUGUUCUCAAAGGUCUCAGAACACUAUAUUUUGAUAACAAUAAUUUCAAAUGUGAAUAACAGCAUAGGUAUUCUGUUCUAAACAGAAUUAAAGAAAAAAAUGUUACUUUGUGGUUGUAUCUUGUAUUUUCUACUAGCCUUUUACUAUGCAGAAAUAUAACUUUGUGCAUUAGGAACUUAACCAACACCGAACAGUUAUAAUAAUAAAUGUAUGAACAAUAACUUUAAUUGAAGAUAUUUACAAAACAAUACAGUGUAUAUGAAUAUACACCUUGGUGAAGUCAUUUGGAUUUAUCAACGUCAUCAUAUAGCGCUACUUUUCUUACCAAUCUCUUGUUAAAUCAUUUUAUGCUAUAAAAUAGCAAAAUAUUCUCUAAGAUAGGACCUUCGCGUAAGUCCUUAAACAAUUGUCUAGCAGUUAAGGUCUAACACAAUGUCUUUAGCAGACCUUGCAUUAUGUCAUUUUUGCUUUUUUCAUUCUCAGCCAUGUGACUUAAUAUCAUUUGUAGAUAUUUUUGUUUGUCAUCAGUAUCAUGUUUCAUAACAUGAUUAGGUGUUUUUGUGUGUCUUGUUACAUUUUCAAUAACCAUGUUACUUUGAUUAUUUUCAGACUCGUUUGACAAAGUCUGUGUAUCCAUGUCAUCCGUCUCUAUGGACUGAUCAGAAUGCGAAGCACCUGAUUCCAUGCGGGAUUCAUUAUUAAGCAUCAGAAACAUCAGAUUCAUCGUUACUGCUUGAGCUAGAAUCAUCAGGAGGUAUUACAUAGUUAACCCUUCGUCUUGGAUAACCUUUGACAGCUUUACGUUCGGGCCAUUCAGCAAUGUCAGCAAGCCUUAUCUGAUCUGCAUGUACUUGAACAACUGAAUUGUCAAGCUGGUUCUUAAUAAGGACCUCCCUAAAGGCAGAACUUGUAAAUUCUGACCCUCGGUCAUGAAUUAUCUGGAGAGGACAUCCAUAUCUAGGAUAUAUCUCAUUCAAAAAUUCUGGUGGUCGUGAAAAGAAAUCAGCAAUAACAUUUGCCUUUCCUGGAAGAUACUCUAUCUUACAGUUGUAACCACUAAUAGACAAUGCCCAUAACUGAAUUUUCUUGUUUUGCAUUGGGCUUUUUAAUAAAUACUGAAGCGGA
rnacentral:lncRNA from 1 species